UGGGGAAUAUUGGACAAUGGGGGCAACCCUGAUCCAGCAAUGCCGCGUGUGUGAAGAAGGUCUUCGGAUUGUAAAGCACUUUCGACGGGGACGAUGAUGACGGUACCCGUAGAAGAAGCCCCGGCUAACUUCGUGCCAGCAGCCGCGGUAAUACGAAGGGGGCUAGCGUUGCUCGGAAUGACUGGGCGUAAAGGGCGUGUAGGCGGUUUACACAGUCAGAUGUGAAAUCCCCGGGCUUAACCUGGGAGCUGCAUUUGAUACGUGUAGACUAGAGUGUGAGAGAGGGUUUGUGGAAUUCCCAGUGUAGAGGUGAAAUUCGUAGAUAUUGGGAAGAACACCGGUGGCGAAGGCGGCAACCUGGCUCAUGACUGACGCUGAGGCGCGAAAGCGUGGGGAGCAAACAGGAUUAGAUACCCUGGUAGU
rnacentral:rRNA from 1 species